GGGCGGUACCCGGCGCCUCCACCAAAAACCGGCGGCUUUAAGAUGAAAGGCCGGCUUUUGAUGGGGGCGAAAUAGGAUCGACAAGGGUGUAAAGAUCGAACUUUUGCUCGGCAUGAUACCGCCGUUAUCGGGUCAAAAGUGUAGUUGCAAACGACAACAACGCUAAGGAAUACGCUCUCGCUGCCUAAUGGCGGUGCGGGAAUUCCGCUCUAAAGCCCUCACGGUUAGCCCCGUGAGGCGGGGUUCGGAGGUACCUGGCAACAGAAACCUCCACC
rnacentral:tmRNA from 1 species